rnacentral:rRNA from 1 species
GACGAACGCUGGCGGCGUGCUUAAGACAUGCAAGUCGAACGGAGAUACUCAUGAAGCUUGCGAUUGAGAAUCUUAGUGGCGGACGGGUGAGUAACGCGUGGGUAACCUGGCCCCUAUGGUCCGGGAUAACAUUCCGAAAGGGAUGCUAAGACCGGAUAUGCUCACGGCUCGGCAUCGAGCAGGGAGGAAAGGUAGCGCCAUAGGAUGGACCCGCGUCCCAUUAGCUAGUUGGUGAGGUAACGGCUCACCAAGGCGACGAUGGGUAGCCGGCCUGAGAGGGUGACCGGCCACACUGGGACUGAGACACGGCCCAGACUCCUACGGGAGGCAGCAGUCGGGUAAUUUUCGGCAAUGGGGGGAACCCUGACCGAGCAACGCCGCGUGAGGGAAGAAGGUCUUCGGAUCGUAAACCUUUGUCAUCAGGGACGAUCAUGACGGUACCUGAGGAGGAAGCCACGGCUAACUACGUG